CAGGGAGACAACAAAAUGUUUAAUAUUAUUAUUUUGUCACCUUAGGUCGAUCGGUAUCUCACGUUCUUAAUCUUUUAAGAAUUUCAUUUUCUAAGUUUUUCUAGGUCACACCCAUUAUUUUCCCUGGGCCAUUAGCUCAGGUGGUUAGAGCGCACCCCUGAUAAGGGUGAGGUCCCUGGUUCAAGUCCAGGAUGGCCCAUAUCUCUAUGUUGGGGGUAUAGCUCAGUUGGUAGAGCGCCUGCUUUGCAAGCAGGAUGUCAGCGGUUCGAGUCCGCUUACCUCCACUGAUUACCACCUCUGCCAUAUUUUUUAAUACAGGGAACGUAUAGAGAUGUGGUCAAAUUCUGAACGAAUCUAGCUUCCUAAUGAAAUCAUUAAGAUGCUGGACUCAUUGAAUAAUUUUCAUUGUUUUCAGAGAACCUUGACAACUGCAUAGAUUAUUUUUUUAGACAAUAAGCAUCUUUAAUGAUGCAGAUUUAUUAUUUGUGCGAAUGCAUUAAUAACAAUUCUAUUAAGCUGAUGCUUCAAUUUUGAAGUUAUU
rnacentral:tRNA from 1 species